rnacentral:rRNA from 1 species
AGUGAACGCUGGCGGUAGGCCUAACACAUGCAAGUCGAACGGCAGCACAGUAAGAGCUUGCUCUUACGGGUGGCGAGUGGCGGACGGGUGAGGAAUACAUCGGAAUCUACUUUUUCGUGGGGGAUAACGUAGGGAAACUUACGCUAAUACCGCAUACGACCUACGGGUGAAAGCAGGGGAUCUUCGGACCUUGCGCGAUUGAAUGAGCCGAUGUCGGAUUAGCUAGUUGGCGGGGUAAAGGCCCACCAAGGCGACGAUCCGUAGCUGGUCUGAGAGGAUGUUCAGCCACACUGGAACUGAGACACGGUCCAGACUCCUACGGGAGGCAGCAGUGGGGAAUAUUGGACAAUGGGCGCAAGCCUGAUCCAGCCAUACCGCGUGAGUGAAGAAGGCCUUCGGGUUGUAAAGCCCUUUUGUUGGGAAAGAAAAGCAGCAGGUUAAUACCCCGCUGUUCUGACGGUACCCAAAGAAUAAGCACCGGCUAACUUCGUG